rnacentral:antisense_RNA from 1 species
ACAUGAAAAUGACAGCCACAUGUUUACUCCUCCCAGAUGUUUUUGGGGAUGAUCCCAGCCUUUUUGUCAUCAUGAAUGAACAGGUGCAAGUGUCCACACCUGUGUUGGAAGUUAAAAACCCUUUCAACAUGGAGGUCUGCGAAUUUUCUUUAUAUUUAGAAAGGGAAAGGCUCACAAAGUUGGACGACUGUGUUACAGCCUUGGCUGCGCUAGUAGCUGCCUUUCAUGUAUUUGGGAUUGAGUGUCCAAGAAGACUGUCCCAAACCUUCAACUUCCUAGAAACGUUGAUUUUUGAUAUGCAUAGUCCUUAUUUUCCUUCUUUGAAAGAAAAGGAAAACGAAGUAGGAUUUCAGCACCCAGUCACUUAAUAGCAUGCCAAAUAUUGUAUCGGAAUUUACCUCUGGGAAAACUGAAGCUUCAUAAGGAAUUGUUUUGAUUUAGGGUUGUGGUAGAGGGGAUCUGCCUAGCCCCAGGAGAUCUGGUUGUCUUUAAUCGCUUGUUGAGAAUAAGGGCUGCGGCAUUUUUGAGGUCUCCUCCUUGCUGGCUGAUCUUGCUGGUACAGUCCUGAUGUCUGUGACCUGUGUUCAUCUGCUACUGCUUCUCGCCUUGGAAACACAGUGACUCAUCCUGCGUACCCAACUGGCUACUGCCCAGAGUCCAGUUCUAUCUGUUCUGCUCUUAACAAUGGCUGCAUAAGUACUUUUUGGGUCUAACAAGACUCAGUGCACUCUCCCUCUUUCCAACUAUUUCACAAGGUAUACAUCCCUAUGGCUGAAUUUGAAUGACAGCCUCUCUCAGGCCAGGACAGGAUGACAAGGUGAGCUACAGGGAAACUGCAGUGAAGUUUGGCUCCAAGCAUGACACAGACAUGGGCUGACCUUGAAGAAAAAAAAGACUAAACACUACCUACGCUCAAUGUUCCACACCUCUUAAGCCAGUAAUCCUGUAUCUGGUGUCUGGCAGCAAAGAAAAUAAAAUAUACCUCAUCUGUGCUCCAUUUGGAGACUUUACUGGCAGGGAUUCCAGCGACAGUUGGAA